GAAUUUUUCGCAAUGGGCGCAAGCCUGACGAAGCAACGCCGCGUGGAGGAUGAAGGCCCUAGCGGUCGUAAACUCCUGUCUAGCGGGACGAAACUCUUGCGAGCGAAUAGUUCGCGAGAUUGACUGUAACGCUGGAGGAAGCCCCGGCCAACCCCGUCCCAGCAGCCGCGGUAAUACGGAGGGAGCAAGCGUUACUCGGAAUUACUGGGCGUAAAGGGCGCGUAGGCGUCUUUUCAAGUCAGUUGUGAAAGCCCAGGGCUUAACCUUGGAAGUGCAACUGAUACUGAAAGGAUUGAGUUCCGGAGAGGAAGAUGGAAUUCCCGGUGUAGCGGUGAAAUGCGUAGAUAUCGGGAGGAACGCCAGCGGCGAAGGCGAUCUUCUGGACGGAUACUGACGCUGAGGCGCGAAAGCUAGGGGAGCAAACAGG
rnacentral:rRNA from 1 species